rnacentral:rRNA from 1 species
GGCAGAGCCGCGAACGGGUGAGUAACACGUGGGUUACCUGCCCCAAUGACCGGGACAACCCGAGGAAACUCGGGCUAAUACCGGAUGUGGUCUUCGGACGAAAGGAAGCUUCGGCCUCCGCAUUGGGAUGGGCCCGCGGCGCAUUAGCUUGUUGGUGGGGUAACGGCCUACCAAGGCGACGAUGCGUAGCUGGUCUGAGAGGACGAUCAGCCACACUGGGACUGAGACACGGCCCAGACUCCUACGGGAGGCAGCAGUGGGGAAUCUUGCGCAAUGCGCGAAAGCGUGACGCAGCAACGCCGCGUGGGGGAAGAAGGCCUUCGGGUUGUAAACCUCUUUCAGUUGGGACGAAGCUUCGCGGGUUAAUAGCCUGCCGGAGUGACGGUACCUUCAGAAGAAGCCCCGGCUAACUACGUGCCAGCAGCCGCGGUAAUACGUAGGGGGCAAGCGUUGUCCGGAAUCAUUGGGCGUAAAGAGCGUGUAGGCGGCCCGAUAAGUCCGCUGUGAAAGUCCAGGGCUCAACCCUGGAAUGCCGGUGGAUACUGUCGGGCUCGAAUCCGGAAGAGGUGAGUGGAAUUCCUGGUGUAGCGGUGAAAUGCGCAGAUAUCAGGAGGAACACCAAUGGCGAAGGCAGCUCACUGGGACGGUAUUGACGCUGAGACGCGAAAGCGUGGGGAGCAAACAGG